rnacentral:rRNA from 1 species
AGUGAACGCUGGCGGUAGGCCUAACACAUGCAAGUCGAACGGCAGCACAGUAAGAGCUUGCUCUUACGGGUGGCGAGUGGCGGACGUGUGAGGAAUACAUCGGAAUCUACUUUUUCGUGGGGUAUAACGUAGGGAAACUUACGCUAAUACCGCAUACGACCUACGUGUGAAAGCAGGGGAUCUUCGGACCUUGCGCGAUUGAAUGCGCCGAUGUCGGAUUAGCUAGUUGGCGGGGUAAAGGCCCACCAAGGCGACGAUCCGUAGCUGGUCUGAGAGGAUGAUCAGCCACACUGGAACUGAGACACGGUCCAGACUCCUACGGGAGGCAGCAGUGGGGAAUAUUGGACAAUGGGCGCAAGCCUGAUCCAGCCAUACCGCGUGGGUGAAGAAGGCCUUCGGGUUGUAAAGCCCUUUUGUUGGGAAAGAAAAGCAGCAGGUUAAUACCCCGCUGUUAUGACGGUACCCAAAGAAUAAGCACCGGCUAACUUCGUG